CCUACGGGAGGCAGCAGUGAGGAAUAUUGGACAAUGGAGGCGACUCUGAUCCAGCCAUGCCGCGUGCAGGAAGACUGCCCUAUGGGUUGUAAACUGCUUUUAUACAGGAAGAAACCUACUUACGUGUAAGUAGCUGACGGUACUGUAAGAAUAAGGAUCGGCUAACUCCGUGCCAGCAGCCGCGGUAAUACGGAGGAUCCAAGCGUUAUCCGGAAUCAUUGGGUUUAAAGGGUCCGUAGGUGGUUUAUUAAGUCAGAGGUGAAAUCCCAUAGCUUAACUAUGGAACUGCCUUUGAUACUGAUAGACUUGAGUUAUUGUGAAGUGGUUAGAAUGUGUAGUGUAGCGGUGAAAUGCAUAGAUAUUACACAGAAUACCGAUUGCGAAGGCAGAUCACUAACAAUAUACUGACACUGAGGGACGAAAGCGUGGGUAGCGAACAGGAUUAGAUACCCUGGUAGUCCACGCCGUAAACGAUGGACGCUAGUUGUUGGGAUUUAUCUCAGUGACUAAGCGAAAGUGAUAAGUGUCCCACCUGGGGAGUACGAUCGCAAGAUUGAAACUCAAAGGAAUUGACGGA
rnacentral:rRNA from 1 species